rnacentral:rRNA from 1 species
GACAGAGGGUGCGAACGUUGUUCGGAAUUACUGGGCGUAAAGCGUGUGUAGGCGGCAGCGCAAGUCGGGCGUGAAAGCCCACGGCUCAACCGUGGAAGUGCACUCGAAACUGCGCAGCUAGAGUCCUGGAGAGGAAGGUGGAAUGCUUGGUGUAGAGGUGAAAUUCGUAGAUAUCAAGCGGAACACCGGUGGCGAAGGCGGCCUUCUGGGACAGUGACGUGACGCU